rnacentral:pre_miRNA from 1 species
UGGACAGAUUAUUGUAUUCAACUGUAUUCACAGGUGAAAUAGGGGAUUAUAUUAUUUUUAAACGGAAAGUGAAUCAAUUAACAUAAUAAACUCCU